AUUGAACGCUGGCGGCAUGCCUUACACAUGCAAGUCGAACGGCAGCACGGGUGCUUGCACCUGGUGGCGAGUGGCGAACGGGUGAGUAAUACAUCGGAACAUGUCCGGUAGUGGGGGGUAGCCCGGCGAAAGCCGGAUUAAUAACGCAUACGAACUACGGAUGAAAGCGGGGGACCUACGGGCCUCGCGCUAUCGGGUUGGCCGAUGGCUGAUUAGCUAGUUGGUGGGGUAAAGGCCUACCAAGGCGACGAUCAGUAGCUGGUCUGAGAGGACGACCAGCCACACUGGGACUGAGACACGGCCCAGACUCCUACGGGAGGCAGCAGUGGGGAAUUUUGGACAAUGGGCGAAAGCCUGAUCCAGCAAUGCCGCGUGUGUGAAGAAGGCCUUCGGGUUGUAAAGCACUUUUGUCCGGAAAGAAAUCCUUGGCCCUAAUACGGUCGGGGGAUGACGGUACCGGAAGAAUAAGCACCGGCUAACUACGUG
rnacentral:rRNA from 1 species